rnacentral:lncRNA from 1 species
AGAACAGAUGAAUUACCCAACCCUGAAACUGCUCUCACCCGGACUUUCUGUGUUAAGUCAGAGCAAAAAAAUAAUUAAACUUCAGCAAACUGAGUGACUGCGUUUCAACAAGUUUAAAGCAUCUCAUUGAAGAAAAUACACCUCAAUCUGGUUUGAGAUCCUCGGCAGACUUUGUCACCCUAUCAUGUUGGGUAAAUCCUUUGAAGAAUUCUUAGAACCUCAUCACAGGAAAGGGUGGCUUAGGGGCCUCUAGCUGUUCUCUGGGCUCCUUUGAGCUCAGAGUUUUGAUGUUAGGUGGGGCCAAGAAAAAUUGUUUGCAGGGAGGGAGGAGGAUGGAAGGAGUGGCAACCAUGGGCCAGAAGAACCAGUCACAUAAAACCUCGGCUAGCCAAGUAUAUGACUUCUGAGGACAGAGGGCCCCUUCUUCAUACACUGCUAUGUCCCCAGCCUCCAGCACGGCACAAUAAAUAUAUUUUAAUAUAGUUCAAAUAUAUUGCUGACUAAGCAAUGAAGAAAAUAGGAAGAGGGGACUCAACCAGGACCCUGGAGACAGUGGCCUGGGGAGGAGUCCUGGUCCCAGGCCCCCAGCUACAUGACCUUGGGCAAGCUGUAGAACUUCCCUAAGCCCAUUUCUCCUCUAAAAUGGUGGUCAUAGGAACAUCUACCUAACAGAUAUUGGGGCCAAGGGAAGACUUCCCCAUCACCUUCUGAUGUUUCGCUGGAAAUUGCUGACAAAAGCUGAUUAAUAGGAGACAAGGCAGACACAUGUAUUUGAUCAUAGUUUUACAUGACACCGGAACUUUCAGCAUGAAGGCCCAAAGAUACAGGGGGAACUGUCUAUUUUAUGCUUAUGUUCAACAAAGUAUGGACAGAAAGGGUCUGAUCUAACACUUACUGACUGGGGAAUCCCAGCACUGUCCAUUUCAAUUCUUCUGGGUGUCUUGUGCAGUGUUUCUUCCUACUGGGUGUGGGGCAGGACCCUCUCUAGGAUGGGGGUCUGAUGACCUACAGUCAAACAAGGCAGGUCAGAUAAUUUCUUCAUGGCCAGUUUUUACACAGAAAGACAGUAGGAAAGUUAAAGUAAUAUUUUUAGGUUAUGGCUGGCUUGGAGGAAAAGGGUUCUGGCUUCUAUUACCCACUUUGAGGAAAAGGGAUUCUAGUUUCUAUGGUUAGCCUUGGGAGAGAAUGAGAGGUCAGAGACAGGAGGGAAGGACAAAGUCAGAGAGAAACUGUUGCUUUUGAGGCCUUCAUUUCGGGGUAUUGUUUUCUAAGACCAUACACAUAGUACCCAUGAGAAUUGAAGGAGAAGCCUCAUAAAAACACUUAGCCUGGUGUCUGUCACCUACCAAGUGCCCAAUACAUGUUAGUUAUUAUUAAUUAAAAAUUCAAGAUUGUCCUCCCUGAUCCCAAAAAGUCUGUCAUUUCAGUGAACUUCCAAAUUUUUUUUCUUUCUUAUUCCUAGAAAUGGUAUUUGCAAGAUGGGUGUAUUUCUACAUCUUUGUUCACCACCAAACAAACCAAAACCAUUUCCUCAACCAGUUCAUCAGUUCCUCAUAAACAAAGCACAACUUCUCAGCCAAAAGUUUGUCAUCAAAAGCUUGCUUUCUUCAUUGUUUAACUCAGUUGUGUUUUGUUUCUUAUUUUCUGGGAAAUGUUGUUUUCCUUAGGUUCUCUUGCCCAGAGCCAGCAGUCAGGCACCACUGUUUCCAUCUCACUAAGCACAUCAUAGGCAUCCUGGGGAGAUAAUGGAUUCCAGAGAGCAAGGGGCCACUUACAUGGAAGAGCCCAGAGUCCCUGGGUAAAGGGUGACAGUGCAGAAACCUCACUAAUGCACUCUUUCCAUUACCAUUCUGCAAUUUUUCCUGUCUUCCACUAUUACCUUCGAUUAAGCUUUACUCUUUAAAACCCUUCAUCUGCCCCGGGGUCAUUAUCUUUCAUCUGACACAGCAGUCGGCAGCCAGAGAUGGCCCUGGCACUUCUCGGAAAUCUCAAGGUUUGGGGCCGGAUAAUUUUUUAGAAGCCUCCUUAACAUGGUUCUUUACCUUGAAUGUUUUCAGCUUUAACAAAAGCCAUUUGAACACGGGUCUGGAAAAAGUGAUAUACUUGAAGAAAAAAAAAAAAAAGUCACUGGCUUUAUUUGUGUUCUGUUCCCUGGAGGUGGGCAGGCCAGAGUGGAGGUAGACCACUGAAUUGAUUUGUUUUGCAACUGAUUUAGCAGCUAUGGGUAGAUUCUUGAAUUUUCUUUGGUGUGUCAUUUUAACUCAUUUUGUGUCCUGACAACUCUGGAAACCCGGGCUACUCCAGUAGCUCUUUCACCAGCCAAACCUGAGAAGAGAGAAACUGAGGUGGGCCAGAACUGAUAGGAAAGCUGUGCUAUGACCCCAAGAGAAUCUCACUCUGGAGCACUUGUCUACCAAAAUGUUGGAAAAUCUUUUAUUUUCUAACACUCUGUUUCACUUCCCCACACUCCCACUUGCAUCUUCCAGAAAUAAUUGAAAUCCUGGUCCUUAGUCUCUACAUCAUUUAAAAGUGUCUGCUCCUGUAAUAUGUGUGUGCUGCCACUGGAUGGCACCAGAAGUCACAACUCUGUUGGUAUACUAUGUGCCAGACACCUUGCUAGGCAUUAAGAAUCCAGUAGUGAACAAAAAAGACAGGGUCCCAACCUCUCUCUCUGAGUCAAGCAGGAAGGCAGACCUUAAACAAAAUAUUAUAAAUAUUUGAAUGACAAUGCUGAGAGGAAGUGUCCAGAGGCUAAUCCUGGGAGCGGGCAGAGACAGCAAGGUUCACACAUGUUCUAUGGCCCUCCCUGCAUUCUCCAGCCACCUUGCAGUUAGGCAAGGCCUUGUGACCAUUGAGGCCAAUGAGAUGUGAGUGAAAAUCAUAUGUGACCCCUUAGAGCCAAGGUAGAGAAAAGUGAGUAUAAUUUCUCUAUGCUUGUCUCUUCCUUUGCUGUGGUAGCUGGUAACAUGAUGGGUGGCAGAGCCUCUGCUAGACUGAAUCCCUGGGUAAGUAUGUGGAGGACAGCCAUCAUAGAAUCAUCACUAACCCCAUGCUUCUUGACCCCAAUCCUCCACAGCUCAUGUUGGAUAGGUAGCACAAAUUUUUAUUGAAUUAAGCCAUAAAGAGUUGGGGGGUUGUUUCUGCAGGUAUGUCAGUCUGCCUAAGGACUAACUUUCUAGCUGCAGAGAUGGAACUAAGAGUGGAGUCUUUCUCCUCUAAGUGAGUAGGCCUUUGCAUAAGCAGCACAGACAGAUGAGGGAUGGAGGAAACAGAAGCAAGCUGCAUUGCCACCCCCUAUCCUCCUGGGACCAGUGAGAAGGAGGGGACUUCCUAACCAAAGAGGCUAGGAAGGCCUACAGGGUCUUAAGCGUUUCAAGCAGCAUACUGAGCACAUGAUAGCAGACCAAAAGGGUAUGAUUAUUUCAGCAGACCCAGGUUCUGGCCAGGGGAGAGCAGAGCUUGAUGUAGCUGAUCUCAGUAGGGGUAGCUUGUAGACUUUUCCCAGGCUGCCCACAGACAUGGCCGUGGGGUCUCUCUAUUACAACAGCCACGAACAUAAUGGAAAAAAAAAAUAGGUAGGUAGCUGUGUGGUUAGUGGGGGCACCAAUUACCCCAUAAAUCAAUUUGCUGUGUGUGUGGAGUGGGGGGUUGUUGGAGCUUCUUAUUUUGAUAUAAUUUCAAACAAGAGAAAAAAAUGGAAGAAUCAUAGAAAGAACUUCCACAUACCCUUCACCAAGGUUCACUAGUCCCCUUAAAAGUAAUCUCUUUCAUACCCAACCUAGCUAUAAUGCCUAACUCAAACUUCAAUAUUAAAGUUUCAUGAGUCAGCUUUAUAUGUAAGAUUUGCAAAACGUGAUAGAAUACUGAUAUGGUUUGGGUGUGUCCCCACCCAAAUCUCAACUUGAAUUGUAUCUCCCAGAAUUUCCACAUGUUGUGGGAGGGACCUAGGGGGAGGUAAUCGAAUCAUGGGGGCUCAUCUUUCCCAUGAUAUUCUCAUGACAGUGAAUAAGUCUCUCGAGAUCUGAUGGACUUAUCAGGGUUUUCUGCUUUUGCUUCUUCCUCAUUUUUCUCUUGCCGCCACCAUGUAAGAAGUAUAAGAAGUACCUUUCACCUCCUGCCAUGACUCUGAGGCCUCCCCAGCCACAUGGAACUCCCAUGUCUCAAAGAUGCUGAUCCCACCCUCAGAUCCAGAAUGGGACAAACUAGCAUAUGAAUAUCACUUUCCUCUUGGCAGUGAUUGGUUCAGAAAUGGCCAUGUGAGCCAAUUCUGGUCAAUAAGACUAGAGAAUAGAUUUGAUAAUGUCUUCUGGAAGCUUCUUUCUCAGUUUUAAGAAAGAACCACAAAUAGUAGUCUCUCUCUCACUGAAUGUGAAUAAGAAAGAAAGCAGCCACAAUGACUACUGAUAGCCAUCCCACCGUAAGAAGAGCCAGACUUAGGAUGAAGCCAACCAGCCAACCCUGGGAAUGUCACAGAAGAGAAUGAGAGUAAUGAGACAUCACUUAAUGACAUCACUAAGACAUUGGCUCAACCAACCCUGAGGAACACCCCCCACCUCUGGACUUCCUGCCUUGUAAGCAAAGAAAUGUCAUAUGACGUUAACUGAUUUGAAUUAGGUUUUCUGUUUUUCACAGCUGAAAGCAUCUUUAACUGAUGCUGGGAUUCACCACAUUUCCUGCAUCUGCAGAACUAGGCAAUCAUCAUUCACAUCUUAAAUUAUGGUCUGGAGGUACCACACACUCCUUAAUCAACAAACAAAAUGCAGAUUUUGCAGGCGGUGAGUUCCGUGUGGUGCCAUAAAGAUGGCCACACAUUCUUUGUCAUUGGGAGGCCAUUGAGAGUUGACAUAAAUUUCCCCUUCUCUUGAAUCUGGGCUGGCCUUGUAGUUAUUUUGACCAAUAGAAUGCAGUAGAAGUGACACUUAGUAAUUUCCAAGGCUGACCCUUAAGAGAUUUUUCAGCUUUUCUAUGUGACUUGCAACACUUUCUUGAAACACAGCCACCAUGCAAGACAUCUACCUACCCUGUGGCCACCAGUCUGUGAAGAGCCCACACUAGCCAUAAUAAGAGAGACAGAAAGAGGGUCAGGGUGGAAUAGCACUGAGGUACCAGAUGUGGUAACACCUUUUGAAAUGUAGCCAAGUGAAACCAGCAGAAGCAAUAUAGAACUGAAUGACUGCCUAGUAGAGCCCUCUCCAAAUUUAUGACUCACAAAUAAAAUGGUGGUUGUUUUAAGCCACUAAAUUGUGUGGUAGUUUGUUAUAUAACAAUAGACAACUGGAACUGGAAGAAAACAUAGAAACUUCUUUUUCAAAAGCUUCAAUAGCAGUAGGAAAGCAAAAGCUUUCUGUGAACGCUUGUCUAAAUACAAACUUCAUUAUCCAGCACACUCUCCUUCAAGUGCCUCAGUUAAUCCCAGUUUUAAGGAUGUGUGGCCGUGUUAUAAGCUGCAUAUACACUGCACACGAGUGUCUAUAAAGAUGAUGCUGCUUUAUCCCAUUCCUUUCUGCUUUUCCCUACCACAAUUAGAUCUCAGGUUCUUAUCAAAGUUUUUAAAAGGCCAAACACAGUGGCUCAUGCCUGUAAUCCCAGCGCUUUGGGAGGCCAAGACAGGCAUAUCGCUUGAACUCAGGAGGUCAAGACCACCCUGGGCAAUGUGGUGAAACCCAUCUCUACAAAAAAAUACAAAAAUUAGACAGUGUGGUGCACACCUGUAGUCCCAGCUACUUAGGAGGCUGAGGUGGGAGGAUGGCUUGAGCCCAGGAGGUAGAGGUUGCAGUGAGCCAAGAUCACACCACUGCACUCCAAUCUAGACAGCAGAAUGAGACUCUGUCUCAAAAAAAAAAAAAAAAAAAAGGAAAAGAAAAGAAAAAAAUGUAUGUGAGAGGGUGAUUGAUGAUCAAAGGGAGCCCACUUUCUUGGUCUCAUGAACAUUCUCCGUCAAAACACACACAUAUACAACCCCUAAGUGCCAGUUCUGAUUAGACUUGGGUCUUACUAUGCUUGGCUUGGCAGGAUUGCACUAUUGUUCAAACAUUUGUCCCAUAAAAAAUCAGCAGAAUUUGAAUUAACCACUAGUUUCUUUUAAGCUGAGCUGACAUUUUGAGCUACAUUUAUUUUAACUAGGGAUUUAUGACAGGAAAGGAAUAGUUCUAAUUAAAUAAGUAUUAGCCUCACUGUGAAUAAUGACCCCUUGGAAGUUUCCCAGUCCCCUAAUAGCUAAUUAACAGCUCAUAACUGGGCUCUCUUUGUAUCCCAAGGCAAGUGUGAAAAGGAAGACUUGACUGAUUAAUGAGAUGGGCUCAAACCGGAUUAAAAAUGAAAAUUGGCUUUACGGACUCCAGACCUGCAAAUCUACUCUGCGUGAAAAGGAGAGAUUAUUUUUAAGGCAUCCUGGGCGAUCGCUGUGGGAAAAGGGAGCACACAGCCAAAGGCAUUGAUCUGUUAACGCUUUCCCUGUGACCCCUUUCACAGUGGCUGACAGAGGACCAGACAGCCAGCGGUGAGAGAGCUGGCCUCUCCAUUGUCAUGACGCCUAUAGGCUUGGGGUGGAAAGCCAAAUAGCCUUCAUAAAGACUUGCUCUUCCUUUGUCAUGUUUGUAUUUCAGACAAAUAUUAAGGCAGACAGAUGGCAAAUUAGAAGUCAAUAAAUACCACUUUCCAUCUCUGCCAUUCCAUUUUAGAAUGUGUUAGAAGCCCUCCUCUUCUCCCUCAGUCAGAGGCUGGAGACUAGUUCUUCAAUAUUAAAGGAGAUUGUGCUCAGCUUGCCUGAGGCAAUCGCAAGCUGGUACCAUGCCACCUCCCACAUAACACUUUCUCUGGCACUUACCAGAAAGUGUUUUUGAAUGGGCAGUUGUGGACUCUGGAAAAAUGCUGCAUGUAUUUUCAGAGGCCCCUGUCUGCUGCAGAUAGCUCCAUCCCUUUCAUGUAGCUUUUAGUUGCAGCCUCACUUGCUAAGCGCUCGGCAGGCCCCUACUUUUUUUCUCUGCUCGCGUACCCUGCCCCAAGAAACUUUAAAAUACUACAUAGAGCCAAUAUUUAUUUGGCCAAUAGAAUUCCAUUCAGUGCAAGGGAACUGCUUUCAGUCAUCAUGGGGAAGAGACAGGGGAGUACCCCAGAUUACCAUGAAAUUUAAGUUCCUUCUCAGAGUAGCCAGCCCACUCCUACCCCUUUGGAACUGAGACUAGGUUCUAAGGUUGAGCCAGAGCAGGGCCACAUUAUAGGGGUGCUGAUUUGGGGUCACCACAGAGCAGUUGUGGGUCUUUAUCAAAUAACUGGCCCCAAAACAGCAGAUUAAAUGGUGAGGGUGGAGGAAGAACAACUUCCUUUCUGAGCUUAUAAGUAAGAUUUAUGAUCUGCCAUUGCCAGGAAAUGGAAUGUUACAACUAGAUUGCCACUGAAGUUCAAAAACUUAAACCUAUGUUGAAUUUAACCUAAUCUUUAUUUGAUGAUUUUAAAAAGACAUUUGAGACUCUAGGUGUUCUCAAUUCUUCAUAACAAAUCUUUUGACAAAAGUGAGUAAGAUCUAAUUAACAGCUCAAAAGAUCAGGAAGUCAAAAGAUCAGAAACUUUACCAGCCUGUGUGCGCUAUGCCUACCCUGCACCCUGGAAGGUUCCUAACCUUCCAAUGGCUUUAGUUGCCUCUUUACCAUCUGACUGAGCAAGGACAGGACCACAGCAAGGUAAAAGCAUUUUCCCUCUCUCCCAAGAAUAUACCCUCCAAUCUGUGCCCCUUGCUUUCUUCUACUGGUACCCCAAAAUGGAUCAGAUAUCAAGAACCAUCAAACAUUAUACUACAUAGCACAAAAACAAAAUUAAUACACUGCCCCCCACACAAAUAAAAAAGUGUAUAAAAAACACCUGGCCCUUAUCUAAUCUUUGCAAGGCUUAAUGCCAAGAAAGGUGUUAACUCUCCAGGGAGGAUGGAGACACACUAGAUAUCAGUUAAUUAACACUCCCAGUAGGUGAACAGAAGUGCUCUCCUAGGCUGGAAAGAAUCUCAUUUUCUUCUAAAACUGUGACUUCGGACUGACACUUCAAAAUUGUCAACAGUAACUUAAGGGAUGAGAAUGUCUCUUUAGUUAUUUUAAUCAGCAGCAUGUACGGAGUGCACUUUGGUGCACAUCUGUUUGUGGGAAGAUAAAGAAAUAACUACCAUGUCUGUCCUGAAGAAGUUGAUCAGGUUAAGUAGGACGUUAAGACUAACACAGAUUACUCUGUAAAAGAUACUGAUAAACAUGUAAAAAUUAACAUUACACUGUACACUGGUGUUGUGUGCAUCUGGUAUAAGAAUGAUCAAAAGUAUGGACGUCUUUUAAAUGUCAGCUGACAUCUUCAAGGAUGAGGACAUUUUGAAACAGUGUAUUGGAGGAAGUGGUAGAGUCAGACUAACAGCAGAGGGUGUGGAGCAAGGAAAUCCUGUGCAGGGAUGGCCAGAAAAUCUGAUGGAAUCAGACAGUUAAGAGGUCUAAGGCUUCACAGAAGAAGAGAUGGAGAUAAAAUUAUAGCAUUUGCAGUUACUAAAGUAAUGAAGAGGAAAACAAAAAUCAAUAGCAUUACUAUCAAAAAUUGGAAAGGGCAUGGAGUAAAAGAAGACAGAAUGAUCUGAAUUUUCACCUUUCACAGCAAGUAGACAAUGAAUGUUAUUGAAAGUGAAGAAAUCAAGAGACAAAACCAUCAGCAAAUUAUUUACUGAGGUGACCACCGAAAUGGCUAAAAUUAUAAAUCAUUAAAGAAAGGAAGUAGGGGAAGGGAGGACUCAAAAUUGUCAUUUUGAAUUUUCCAGUACUGACUGAUGUUUUACCACGUUUAUGCAUUACCUUGAUAAUUUUUAAUGGACAGUGGCAGCCUCUGAUCUUCCAAGUGCUUUCAAAAUAUCAGGGCAUAUUUUAUCAUAUUUAUGAUAACCUCCAAAAUAUGCUAGGUAUGGCUGGAAAAAACAAAACAUAACUCCUCCAAAAUCCAGUACUUCGUAAGAAAAAAGAAGCUUCAGGUGUUCUUUGUAAAUUAUUCAUGCUAACCAAGUCUCAGUAUAGGUUGCCUAAUGACUGAUAAUAUAUUUUGAUACCUUCACUCUUCUUAUUUCAUUUUCAAGGGCUACUGGUUGUAGCCAGAUACUAAAACUGGGCACUUUCAGUUACAGAAAAAUUAUCAGCACUUACAGGGGACUUGGAAAUACCGUUGUCCUAAAAUCCUUUAUUCUCAUUGUUAAAUCACUAAGUCUAAAGUGAAUCAGAGUUUUUCAUUUUCCCAAGGUCCACAAAAAGUUGAUCUAAUAUUUGGUUUCUCAUCAUUGUCUUAUCUUCCAAUUGUAUUACAUUCCCAGAUGACCAAAUCCUAGGAUGUAAGAGUCUAUUUUAGGGCUCAUCUGGUUCAGUUUCCUCAUUGUAAAGUUGAGCAAACUAGGACUCUUAGGGCUUGGUGACUUGCCCAUGGGCAUGAACAAAUUAAUAAACCUACCAGCUGUCCUCUCUCUGGCCCUUCUUUUAAAAUGUUAUGAUAUAUGGUUUAAUAACAACCUUGGCCAGGACUUUUGAUUCCUAUAAUUCUCUUCCACUGACUUUCCCCUACCCCAGUGAAAUCUUAGGUAGAAACUUCUUAAGAACAGUAAAAAAUUACCUUUACCACAAUAAAGACGUGAGUCAUGUACCAAAAUUUCUCUCCCACCCAUCACUUCUUAGGCGCUUAGUCUUAAAGCAUCAUUUUUAUUCUUUGAAGGCAAAACAGCCUUUAAGGGUUGGAUAUUCUUAAUUCAGUCAAUGUGGGAAGGGGGAGGUGAAAAAGGAACUCUCUGAGGAUAAUCACAAUGAGAACAAAAGCUUAUCCAAAUUAUGCAAUGCAUUAUAAUUAUGCUAUAAAAUUGCUCUUCAGCCGGGGUGUCAAUGGAGAGCAUUACAAUUUUUAAAUAGUUCUGUUCUUGAUGGGAAUUCUUGAUCAUUUGAGGUGUUCACGUGUGUGCAUGCACAUUUAGACAAACCAUGGAGCUAAAAGCAUCCAGAAUUUUGCUAUCCUUCCCCCACAAUUAAAAAAAAAUUAAGAAAAGGCAAAAGCAACAACAAUAACUCUAUAUGUACAUGUAGGCAUUGUCUUUAUGGUGGGAUCCUUGAGAAGGAAGAACUGUGGCUCUAAAAUCAGCACAUCUGAAGAUGUCCAGGGCUGCUGGGAGCUGUUGGUUUAGAGUGUAUUUGCCCAAAGCUGUCAGUCCUCCUGCAGAUGAAGCUCACUGUGCAGAACAAGCAGUUGAGUGUGUUCCAAAAGUGAAUAGGAGAGAAUGCUAGAAACGAAGGGAUCAAAGUAGAAGAAGGUGUAAAGCAUUGAUGUUUUCUAAGUAGCUGUCUCUCUCAGAACAGCACUAUGCUGGGCAUUUUUGAAAGCACAAGAAAGCAAAGACUUUUCUUAUUUAUAGAAUUGAGGAAACCAAUGGUUUUAGCUACUGGCUCUUGGCAUGCCUAUAAUAAGAGAGUCAUGAUUUACAAAGAUACUAUUUUUAAGAGUUGUUCUGAGUUUUAAAUUCCUACUUUAAGAUCUCUCAUUUUUCUCUUCCUUACCUUAAACGUUAACUGAAUUGGCUAUUUUUUUUUUUGAUGUUCAUGUUUUUGUUCUUGUACAUAAAUGGUUCCCAACCUGGCUUCACAUUAGAAUCCCCUGGGAAUCUGUAAAAAAGUAAUGCCUUCCCCCAAGACCAAUUAUAUAAGAAUCUUUCAGUCUGAGCAUCAGUAUUUAGAAAAGCUCCCUAAAUGUUUCCAAAGGGCACUCCUGAGUGAGAACUCCUGCUAUCGACAGUAUAACAAGAUCAUUCUGUAGAAACUUUAGUGAAAAUCAGUUUUGCCUAUUAAUUUAGUCAAAAGUUCUGAGUAUGUGAACAGGCCCCAUGUGGGACAUAAAACCAACUGUACCUAUUUCAAGACCUGUAGAUGCCAGUGGAUGACUUCAGAGAGUCUGUAGAAAAUUCCAGAAUUUAGUCACUUCAAGUCUGGGACCCAUUUUAUUUAUUUAUUUAUUUAUAGAAACAGACAAUGCAUUCUGGAUUGUCUGUGGUAAGCAUUACAUUUGUGCCUCACCAUGUAGUUUUCCAAGAGUUUCUUUUGUCAAAAUCUUUUCCCAGAGACUGACCAAAACUUCUACCCACUCACAAUGGCCCUGGAACUCCUUUUGCAAAAUAGGUAUGUUCUAGCUGGGCCUAUCUGGUAACAGAUAUAAUGCAUACUUGACCAGAGUCUAAAAUUUAGAACUAGAUUGGCAGUGUUUGCUAUCAAGAAGAGGGACAUAAGCUCAUGUGCUAUCAGUCACUGCCUUCAGUGACAUUUCUUUCCCUACCUUGACUCUGAAAACUAAGUCCACACUGAGUGCAGGAUGGCUAAUGCUGAGAUUAGAUGAGGGCAGAGGGCCAGGAGGACAGCGUGGAGGACCAAGGUCAGCAGCAUGAAAUGGUAACUCAUGGUGGCAUUCUCUGUGUGAGUGACCAUGAACACCUGAACUUUAAAUGUGUGUAUUAGAAUCUUCCUUUGGAAUUUAAUUUCUUGACAUAUAUUUUGUCUAUAUAUACAUAUAUAUAAUUUGUUGAGAAUAUAUGCCAGGAAAAACACUCAAUGGAAACUAAUGCUGUCUAACUUGAAAAGUAAAGGCCGGGUGUGGUGGCUCACAGCUGUAAUCCCAGCACUUUGGGAGGCUGAUGUGGGUGGGUCACCUGAAGUCAGGAGUUCAAGACCAGCCUGGCCAACAUGGUGAAACUCCGUCUCUACUAAAAACACAAAAAAUUAGCCAAGCAUAGUGGCAGGUGCCUGUAAUCCCAGCUACUCCGGAGACUGAGGCAAGAGAAUUGCUUGAAUCCAGGAGGCAGAGGUUGCAGUGAGCCAAGAUCACGCCAUUGCACUCCAGUCCGGGCAACCAGAGUGAAACUCCAUCUCAAAAAAAAAAAAAAAAAAAAAAAGAGAAAAAAAGAAGAGAGAGAGAGAAAGAAAAAUAAACUUUUGGAAAGCCCAUCAGUACGUUAGAGAAUUGACAGAAAGCUAAAAGCCCUAGGCUCAGAAAACACAAGCAAGGCGUGUUAUGUAUGAUGCCUUGCUGGCAUCAUCACUUCUAGACAUUUGCUGUCACCAUUUCUGGCCCCACUGCCACUGGACACUCACCAUUACUAUUUGCCCCUGGACUCUGAAUUCCAUCACAACUGUGAAUAACCCCAACAGCGCCAUCAAAAGUAGUGUGUUUGCUAAAUGGAAGUUAGAAUUGGGACCAUCCGUGAAAACAUAAACCAUAGAUUAUAAGUUCCUUGAGCUCAAGGAACAGGCCAUGUCCACCUCUCCACCAUUAAAACACUGCCUUGCCUAAAAUGGUGUUCUGUAAAUAUUUGUGAAUAAACCAAAGAAAAAGAAAUGAAUUGACAUGACAUCAUAUGACAUGGAGUGACAGCAUGAAAUGCAGACAACAAAUGAUGAGAAGCAAAACAUUAUCACAGAGUAAUUUCUGUGCUGAAAAUUUUAGACCUAACAACUUAGGAGUUUCAGACAAUGGGUAAUCAUUUUCUUCAUCCAGCCUUCAAUUUCUCUAUGGUAAAAUAAGCAUGAGAACUGCCCUGUCCCUGUCAUGGGGUUGGUUGUUUCAAGACUAGAAUAAGUACUUUGAAAACGGAAGUGCAAUGUUUUAUAGGAUAGAGCUCUAAGGGUUUUAAAUAAACUCCUAGUAAGAGAUACCAAUCAGAGACCCUAAAGCAACCCCACUCCCAACACUCGAAUGUCAGAGUCCCAACUUGGAGAGAGAUUGCCUGUCAUAGGUAGUCUACAAGCUGGUUGCUUCCUAUCUUUGUGUUGCAAUGGGGAUUUCUUAAGGAAGUUCUCAGCUAGACUGGUGUGAACACAAUGAAAGGAGAAGAGUAAGAACUGGGCAAUUUAUAUGCAAGAGGUUUUAUUUCCCAUGGUGUCUGAACAAAGUUAACUCCUUCAUACAUCCUACAACUCAGAGCUGAACUGAGAUAUUCAGCCCAAAACCUUGACUUUUACAGGCGGUCAGCAAUUAGAGGUAAACAAUUUGGUAUAUGUAUUCAAUAUUAAAGGGCUACAAAAGUCAUAAGCUUUUUGAGGACAGGGAAUAUUUUUCUUUUUUUUUCUUUCUUUUUUUUUUUUUUUUUUUUUUGAGCCAGCUUCUCGCUCUGUCACCCAAGCUGGAGUGCAGUGGUGCAAUCUCAGUUCACUGCAACCUCGACCUCCAGGCUCAAGCAAUCAUCCCACAUCAGGCUCCCAAGUAGCUGGGACUACAGGCAUGUACCACCACACCCAGCUAAUUUUUAUAUCUUUUUUGUAGAGACUGAGUUUCACCAUGUUACCCCAGCCAAGCUGGUCUCUAACUCCUGGACUCAAGGGAUUCACCCGCCUUGGCCUCCCAGAGUGCUGGGAUUACAGGCAUAAGCCACUGCACCCAGUCGGGAAUAUUUCUUAUAUGUGUGUAUUUUUUUUCUUCCAGCACUUUAAAUAAGUCCUAACAUAUAAGUUUUUAAUAAGUGUUGCUGAAUUAACAUGAAUAAAUAAAUAUGUGGAUAUAUAUGGUCUGAUAUAGAAUCAUUUCCUUAACCAGAGCUGCCAAUAUGCAGCAUGAGUGGGCACACAUAAACUAUUAAAAAGCGAGCUAAGAGAUGGUGAAUAAAUAAGAAAACAAAGAUUAAGAGAACUCCAUCCUCAAACUAUUGAAAAUGCCCCUCUGGGUUACCACUGAUAUUCUUAUGCAUCGAAUCACCCUCUGAUCACUGGUUUAAAAAGAAAUAAUUUCCCUAGGCAUCACACCUCGUCCUGGUGAAAAACUUAAGUACUACCUAUUGCGAGGGUUAUAGAGCGAAAGAAUGAAAAAGAUUUUCAGAAGACAGGUACUUCAGUAUGACAUCCUGCAUUUGUAUUUUACCUUUUACUUUUUCAAAGUGUGUUCACUGUACCAUUUCCCAACAAUCCUCAACACAAGCUGAUGAAGUGGAUAAGAUUUUUAUCUACAUUGAAAUACACAAACCAGCCGGGCGUGGUGGCUCAUGCCUGUAAUCCUAACACUUUGGGAUGCUGAGGCAGGCAGAUCACUUGAAGUCAGGAGUUCAAGACCAGCCUGGCUAACAUGGUGAAACCCUGUCUCUACUAAAAAUACAAAAAUUAGCCAGGCAUGGAGGCAUGCACCUGUAAUACCAGCUACUCGGGAGGCUGAGGCACAAGAAUCACCCGAACCCAGGAGGUGGAGGUUGCAGUGAGCCGAGAUCACUCCAGUCUGGGUGACAGAGCGAGACCUGUGAAAGAAAGAAAAGAAAAAAGAAGGAAGGAAGGAAGGAAGGGAGGGAGGGAGGGAGGGAGGGAGGGAGGGAAGGAGGGAGGGAAAAAGGAAGGGAGGGAGGGAGGGAGGGAGGGGAGGGGAGGGGAGGGAGGGAAGGGGAGGGGAAGGGUGAAGUGACUCAUCCACAGUUACGCAUCAUUAUGAAUAGAAAGAACCAGGACAAGAUGGGCCUUGUGUCACCACAGUGAAGACUCUGAACUCCUGUCAGUCAUCCUGUGUGACUUUUCCUCUACCCCUAAAGGUUCAGGUGAGUUGCCCACAGUGGGCACAGCUGAUCUGACAGCUCUUAGCUGGGGCUGAUGCUGAGACUCUGGCUGAGAAAUGUUACUUUCAAGCAGACUGAACAGAAAGUGCUAUUUCUGAAUUGCUAUCUUAGGGAGGGGAUGUCAAAUGAAAUGUAAUUUCCGAGGUUCUGGGUUUUGUUUUGUUUUUGUCAACUCAGGCAGGAGAGAUGUUCUGUACCACGGAAGGAGCAGGGAAGGAGGAAGGGAGGCUGGCAGCAUGAGAAUAGACCAUUCCAAUUAAAUUCUACAAAGUGAGAACUGUGCAGAGCUGCUAGAGAUUCUAUGGGUCAAGAAUCCAAGAGGAGCUUAGCAGGUGGUUCAGGAUCUCUCAUGAAGUUGCAGCAAGCUCUCAGGCAGAGCUGCAGUCAUCUGAGGCUAAAGGAUGUGCUUUCCAGCUCACUCCCACGGUUGCUGGCGGACUCACUUCUCCACGUGGGCCUUUCCAAAGCCUGCCUGAGUGUCCUCACAAGUUGGCCGCCAGCUUCCCCCAGACUGAGUGAUCCAAGACAGAGAAAGAGAGCCCAAGACAGAAGCCAUAGAAUUUUAUAACUUCUUUGGGAAAUGCCACACCAUCACAUCUUCUGUAUUCUAUUAGUCACACAGACCAACCCUGGUCCACUGUGGGAGGGGGCUGUACAAGGGCCUGAAAACCAGGAGGCAGGGGUCUUUGGAGCCAUCUUGAAGACUGGGAUCACAGCUCCCAUUUUAAUGUAAUUUAGUUAUCCUCAUAAACUGCUGAAACGUUUCCACACUUCUGUAUUAUUGGGUCUAAACCACUUUAAUCAAUACAGGUAACAGUAAUUGUACAAAAUCCUUUGUUAAGUCAGGUUAAUUUUUAUACCAAAAAUAGUAGCCAUAAAUGUUAACAUCAAUAGUUUUUCACCUUUUGGCUUUUUUGCAUACCUGUCAUCCUGUAUAUAAGUUUUCUUCACACCAGCACAUACCCAUUACCACUUAUUCCCUAUCCCCUAAUCAACCAGGUGAAUUCUCAAAUAUCACCUUCUCUAGUAAGUCUUUCCUGGCUACUGCACACACGUGAGGUUAUCCUCCUACAUGUGCUCAAAGCAUUCGGUGCAUACCUCAAUUAAAAGUCUUUAACAAAUUCUCCAUGACAC